rnacentral:rRNA from 1 species
UGGGGAAUAUUGCACAAUGGGCGAAAGCCUGAUGCAGCGACGCCGCGUGAGGGAUGACGGCCUUCGGGUUGUAAACCUCUUUCAGUAGGGACGAAGCGCAAGUGACGGUACCUGCAGAAGAAGCACCGGCUAACUACGUGCCAGCAGCCGCGGUAAUACGUAGGGUGCGAGCGUUGUCCGGAAUUACUGGGCGUAAAGAGCUCGUAGGCGGUUUGUCACGUCGUCUGUGAAAUCCUAGGGCUUAACCCUGGACGUGCAGGCGUUACGGGCUGACUUGAGUACUACAGGGGAGACUGGAAUUUCUUGUGUAGCGGUGGAAUACACAGAUAUCAGGAAGAACACCGAUGGCGAAGGCAGGUCUCUAGGUAGUAACUGACGCUGAGGAGCGAAAGCAUGGGUAGCGAACAGG